rnacentral:rRNA from 1 species
AUUGAACGCUGCGGCCGGCCUAACACAUGCAAGUCGAACGAGUGGCGGAGGGGUGUGUAAAGGCUGGGACCCUGCCCUAUGGAGGGGGAUAACUACUGGAAACGGUAGCUAAUACCGCAUACCAUCGGAUGUGCCCAGAUGGGAUUAGCUAGUAGGUGGGGUAACGGCUCGCCUAGGCGCCGAUCCCUAGCUGGUCUGAGAGGAUGACCAGCCACACUGGAACUGAGACACGGUCCAGACUCCUACGGGAGGCAGCAGUGGGGAAUAUUGCACAAUGGGCGAAAGCCUGAUGCAGCCAUGCCGCGUGUAUGAAGAAGGCCUUCGGGUUGUAAAGUACUUUAAGCGGGGAGGCGUUACUAGCAGAAUAAGCACCGGCUAACUCCGUGCCAGCAGCCGCGGUAAUAC